AUUGAACGCUGGCGGCAGGCCUAACACAUGCAAGUCGAGCGGUAACAGAACUAGCUUGCUAGUUGCUGACGAGCGGCGGACGGGUGCGUAACACGUAGGAAUCUGCCCGGUAGUGGGGAUAGCCCGGAGAAAUCCGGAUUAAUACCGCAUACGUCCUACUCUUUUUCGGAAGAGGGGGGAAAGCAGGGGAAUCUUCGGAUCCUUGCGCUAUCGGAUGAGCCUGCGUCGGAUUAGCUAGUUGGUAGGGUAAAGGCCUACCAAGGCAACGAUCCGUA
rnacentral:rRNA from 1 species